rnacentral:rRNA from 1 species
GACGGAGGAUGCAAGCGUUAUCCGGAAUGAUUGGGCGUAAAGCGUCCGCAGGUGGCAGUUCAAGUCUGCUGUUAAAGCGCAGGGCUUAACCCUGUAAAGGCGGUGGAAACUGGAGAGCUAGAGUGUGGUAGGGGUAGAGGGAAUUCCCGGUGUAGCGGUGAAAUGCGUAGAGAUCGGGAAGAACACCAGUGGCGAAAGCGCUCUACUGGGCCACAACUGACACUGAUGGACGAAAGCUAGGGGAGCGAAUGGG